UUCCAGUGUUAAUGAAGCUUU
rnacentral:piRNA from 1 species